CGAUUAGGUACAACUAACAUUACUAAUUUACAUUCAAUUGUUUUAUGUUUUAGGUUAAGACAUCAGUCGAUCUCGAUACCAAGAGAAUCACUCGAGAUUUUUCAAAACAUUUAAAGUAAUCGAGUAAAUCUAACAAUCCAAUAUUUCGAUUUAUUUCUCUCGAUUAUUCCCAUGACUAAUUCGCAAUCGAUUCAGAGCACCAUCGUUAUGAUUUUAUUGUUAUCAUUUAAAAUUUAUAAUAAUGUUGAAUAUAGGUGAUAAAAAAUGGUUUUUUUUUCCGAAUAGUGCUGAUCGUUACAUAAAAAUAAAAACCUUUUUGGGAAUACUGAUAAUUAUACUUAAAUUGUGUAGAUGUACAUUUUCAAAUAAUAUUUUGGUUUACUUCUUGUAUAUUUUAGAUUUUAAGCGAGGUGAGGAAUGUUUUGGUUUUACAAUGAUGUUAAUUUUUUUUCUGUGAAUUACUUUACUACCAGCAAUUUUGAUCCAGUGUACAAUAAUAACACUUUCUGAAAGGAAAUUUGACUGGCGUGGUACUCUAAAAGGGUCAUUUUUUUUUCUAUGUGAUCUGAUUACACAUUUUCAAACUGAAAAUGUUGGGUUAUAACACCAUUGUAUUAUUUUUUUCUUAUAAAUUAUAAACAUAAGUAUGUCAAAAUUACAAACGGUAUAAUAGAUAGUUAGGUAAUAAUAAUUUGUAGAUGGUAAAUAGUUAUAGGAAA